AAUUGAAGGGCUUUUGACGAUUUUCAAGAAUUAUUACAUGCGUUUUUUUUAACUAUUGUAUGAUGAAUCUCUCUGCUUCUUGAUUGAUUUGUUGCAGGUUUGACAAGUUUAAUUCAAUUUUAGGUUGAAGUUGUUUAGAUUUGGGGGUUUCUGAAUUUCUUGUACAUGAGUGAGAUAGAUCAUCCAUUGAUUUCUGAUGAGUUUCGGUCAAAUAGUUGAAUUGAGGAAGAAAAUCGAGCUUUCAUCCAUGGAGAAAAGUCUAGUCUGUGUUUUCGAUUUAUUUAUUUCAAAAGGCCAUAAAUAAAUAAGGAUGUUUUUUCUUACAUCAAUUUCUAUAAUGUCUUAGAAAUCUGUGAAGAGGGAUGAAGGAAUGAAAACAUUGGCUUAUUUUUAUA